CACGGGGGGAGCAAGCGUUGUUCGGAAUCACUGGGCGUAAAGGGCGUGUAGGCGGUCAAGUAAGUGGAAUGUGAAAGCCCCCGGCUUACCCGGGGAUCUGCAUCCCAAACUGCUUGGCUUGAGUACGGGAGAGGAUAGGGGAAUUCCUGGUGUAGCGGUGAAAUGCGUAGAUAUCAGGAGGAACACCGGUGGCGAAGGCGCCUAUCUGGCCCGAUACUGACGCUGAGACGCGAAAGCGUGGGGAGCGAACAGG
rnacentral:rRNA from 1 species